GAUGAAGAACGCAGCGAAAUGCGAUAAGUAGUGUGAAUUGCAGGAUUCCGUGAAUCAUCGAAUCUUUGAACGCACAUUGCGCCUUCUGGUAUUCCGGAAGGCAUGCCUGUUCGAGAGUCAUUAACAACCGUUUCGAUCCCUUUCUUUCAGAAAUUACAAAGAGGAAAAGGGUUUGGUUAUGGUGGAGGAGGGAAAGGGAGCGUUUAGCCUGUAAAAAAAGAGGCUGUGUUCCGCCUCCCCCCCAAAAUUGUACAGGCGGUCGUGUGCGCCCACGCAUCGAGGUGUUGUAAAAGCUGCCACGGCACUUUUCACCUGUGCAGUGCGAGAUUGGCCAGCCGGUUUAAAAACCCCUCCAAACAAUCAAAGGUUGACCUCGGAUCAGGUAGGGAUACCCGCUGAACUUAAGCAUAUCAAUAAGCGGAGGA
rnacentral:misc_RNA from 1 species